rnacentral:rRNA from 1 species
UACGGAGGGAUCUAGCGUUGUUCGGAAUUACUGGGCGUAAAGCGCACGUAGGCGGCUUUUUAAGUCAGGGGUGAAAUCCCGGGGCUCAACCCCGGAACUGCCCUUGAAACUGGAGAGCUAGAAUCUUGGAGAGGCGAGUGGAAUUCCGAGUGUAGAGGUGAAAUUCGUAGAUAUUCGGAAGAACACCAGUGGCGAAGGCGACUCGCUGGACAAGUAUUGACGCUGAGGUGCGAAAGCGUGGGGAGCAAACAGG